rnacentral:rRNA from 1 species
UACGGAGGGUGCAAGCGUUAAUCGGAAUUACUGGGCGUAAAGCGUGCGUAGGUGGUUGAUUAAGUUAUCUGUGAAAUCCCUGGGCUUAACCUGGGCAGGUCAGAUGAUACUGGUUGACUCGAGUAUGGGAGAGGGUAGUGGAAUUUCCGGUGUAGCGGUGAAAUGCGUAGAGAUCGGAAGGAACACCAGUGGCGAAGGCGGCUACCUGGCCUAAUACUGACACUGAGGCACGGAAAGCGUGGGGAGCAAACAGG